rnacentral:rRNA from 1 species
AUUGAACGCUGGCGGAAUGCUUUACACAUGCAAGUCGAACGGUAGAGGGGGCAACCCCUCGAGAGUGGCGAACGGGUGAGUAAUAUAUCGGAACGUGCCCAGUCGUGGGGGAUAACGUAGCGAAUGUUACGCUAAUACCGCAUACGAGCUAAGGAUGAAAGCGGGGGAUCGCAAGACCUCGCGCGAUUGGAGCGGCCGAUAUCAGAUUAGGUAGUUGGUGGGGUAAAGGCUCACCAAGCCAACGAUCUGUAGCUGGUCUGAGAGGACGACCAACCACACUGGAACUGAGACACGGUCCAGACUCCUACGGGAGGCAGCAGUGGGGAAUUUUGGACAAUGGACGCAAGUCUGAUCCAGCCAUUCCGCGUGCAGGAUGAAGGCCCUCGGGUUGUAAACUGCUUUUGUACGGAACGAAAAGGUCUCUCUUAAUACGGGGGACUCAUGACGGUACCGUAAGAAUAAGCACCGGCUAACUACGUGCCAGCCGCCGCCGUAAAAC